rnacentral:rRNA from 1 species
GAGUUUGAUCCUGGCUCAGAAUGAACGCUGGCGGCGUGCUUAACACAUGCAAGUCGAACGAGAAAGUGGGCUUCGGUCCAUGAGUAGAGUGGCGCACGGGUGAGUAACACGUGGGUAUCUACCCCUCAAUUUGGGAUAACAUUGCGAAAGUGAUGCUAAUACCGAAUAACAUCCAUAAAGCUUUGGUUUAAUGGAUCAAAGGUGGCCAAUCCUUGGAAGCUACUGUUGAGGGAUGAGCCCGCGUACCAUUAGCUAGUUGGUAGGGUAAUGGCCUACCAAGGCGACGAUGGUUAGCUGGUCUGAGAGGAUGAUCAGCCACACUGGAACUGACACACGGUCCAGACUCCUACGGGAGGCAGCAGUGAGGAAUUUUGCGCAAUGGGGGCAACCCUGACGCAGCAACGCCGCGUGAGUGAUGAAGGCCUUUGGGUCGUAAAACUCUGUCAGCAGGAAAGAAGUUACAUAUGGUUAAUACCCAUGUGUAUUGACGGUACCUGCAAAGGAAGCACCGGCUAACUCCGUGCCAGCAGCCGCGGUAAUACAAGGGCUCUCMMRAAAAAUAUYCAUCACWCCUGKCGGGCGGGGCGAGCAGGCARAASAGGUCCGGAAAAACCAGCCYUUWSWAUKGU